rnacentral:lncRNA from 8 species
CUCCUACAACAAACUGUUGUUCUUACGACCGCAACAACUGCAGCACCUUCUACAACAACUACAACUUCAGCUCCUACGACAACCACAACAACAGCACCCACUACAACACCUGCAGUUCCUACAAGUGUAGCUCCAGCGACCACUACACCUGAUGUACUUACUACAACAAUCACAACUACAGCUCCUGCUACAACACCUGUAGCUUCUACGUCAACCACAGCAGCUGUCUCUACGUCAACCACUGCAGCUCUAACUAAAACAACUGCUGCUCCAACAACCACUACAACUCCAGAACCUAUUACGACAGAACCUACUCGUACGACUGCAAAGACUGCGGAACCUACCUCAACAACCACUUUAGCUCCUACAACAAACAUUGUUGUUCUUACAACCGCAACAACUGCAGCACCUUCUACAACAACUACAACUUCAGCUCCUACAAUAACCACAACAACAGCACCCACUACAACACCUGCAGUUCCUACAACUGUAGCUCCAGCGACCACUACACCUGAUGUACUUACUACAACAAUCAUAACUACAGCUCCUGCUACAACAACUGUAGCUUCUACGUCAACCACAGCAGCUGUCUCUACGACAACCACCUCAGCUCUAACUAAAACAACUGCUGCUCCAACGACCGCUACAACUCCAGAACCUAUUACGACAGAACCUACUCCUACGACUGCUACGACUGCAGAACCUACCACGACAGCAACGGCAGCUCCUACUACAACAUCUGCUGUUCUUACGACAGCAACUACUGCAGCACCUUCUACAACAAGUACAACUUCAGCUCCUACGACAACCACAACAACAGCACCCACUACAACACCUGCAGUUCCUACCACUGUAGCUCCAGCGACCACUACAGCUGAUGUACUUACUACAACAACCACAACUACAGCUCCUGCUACAACAACUGUAGCUUCUACGUCAACCACAGCAGCUGUCUCUACGCGCACCACUGCAGCUCUUACUACAACAACUGCUGCACCAACAACCACUGCAACUCCAGAACCUACUACGACAGAACCUACUCGUACGACUGCAACGACUGCAGAACCUACCACAACAACCACUUUAGCUCCUACAACAAACAUUGUUGUUCUUACAACCGCAACAACUGCAGCACCUUCUACAACAACUACAACUUCAGCUCCUACAAUAACCACAACAACAGCACCCACUACAACACCUGCAGUUCCUACCACUGUAGCUCCAGCGACCACUACACCUGAUGUACUUACUACAACAAUCAUAACUACAUCUCCUGCUACAACAACUGUAGCUUCUACGUCAACCACAGCAGCUGUCUCUACGACAACCACCUCAGCUCUAACUAAAACAACUGCUGCUCCAACGACCGCUACAACUCCAGAACCUAUUACGACAGAACCUACUCCUACGACUGCUACGACUGCAGAACCUACCACGACAGCAACGGCAGCUCCUACUACAACAUCUGCUGUUCUUACGACAGCAACUACUGCAGCACCUUCUACAACAAGUACAACUUCAGCUCCUACGACAACCACAACAACAGCACCCACUACAACACCUGCAGUUCCUACAACUGUAGCUCCAGCGACCACUACACCUGAUGUACUUUCUACAACAAUCAUAACUACAGCUCCUGCUACAACAACUGUAGCUUCUACGUCAACCACAGCAGCUGUCUCUACGACAACCACCUCAGCUCUAACUAAAACAACUGCUGCUCCAACGACCGCUACAACUCCAGAACCUAUUACGACAGAACCUACUCCUACGACUGCUACGACUGCAGAACCUACCACGACAGCAACGGCAGCUCCUACUACAACAUCUGCUGUUCUUACGACAGCAACUACUGCAGCACCUUCUACAACAAGUACAACUUCAGCUCCUACGACAACCACAACAACAGCACCCACUACAACACCUGCAGUUCCUACCACUGUAGCUCCAGCGACCACUACGCCUGAUGUACUUACUACAACAAUCAUAACUACAGCUCCUGCUACAACAACUGUAGCUUCUACGUCAACCACAGCAGCUGUCUCUACGCCAACCACUGCAGCUCUUACUACAACAACUGCUGCUCCAACAACCACUACAACUCCAGAACCUGCUACGACAGAACCUACUCGUAAGACUGCAAAGACUGCGGAACCUACCUCAACAACCACUUUAGCUCCUACAACAAACAUUGUUGUUCUUACGACCGCAACAACUGCAGCACCUUCUACAACAACCACAACAACAGCACCCACUACAACACCUGCAGUUCCUGCAAGUGUAGCUCCAGCGACCACUACACCUGAUGUACUUACUACAACAAUCACAACUACAGCUCCUGCUACAACAACUGUAGCUUCUACGUCAACCACAGCAGCUGUCUCUACGCCAACCACUGCAGCUCUUACUACAACAACUGCUGCUCCAACAACCACUACAACUCCAGAACCUACUACGACAGAACCUACUCGUACGACUGCAACGACUGCAGAACCUACCACAACAACCACUUUAGCUCCUACAACAAACAUUGUUGUUCUUACGACCGCAACAACUGCAGCACCUUCUACAACAACUACAACUUCAGCUCCUACGAUAACCACAACAACAGCACCCACUACAACACCUGCAGUUCCUACAACUGUAGCUCCAGCGACCACUACACCUGAUGUACUUACUACAACAAUCAUAACUACAGCUCCUGCUACAACAACUGUAGCUUCUACGUCAACCACAGCAGCUGUCUCUACGCCAACCACUGCAGCUCUUACUACAACAACUGCUGCUCCAACAACCACUACAACUCCAGAACCUACUACGACAGAACCUACUCGUACGACUGCAACGACUGCAGAACCUACCUCAACAACCACUUUAGCUCCUACAACAAACAUUGUUGUUCUUACAACCGCAACAACUGCAGCACCUUCUACAACAACUACAACUUCACACUUAGCUCCUACAACAACCACAACAACAGCACCCACUACAACACCUGCAGUUCCUGCAAGUGUAGCUCCAGCGACCACUACACCUGAUGUACUUUCUACAACAAUCAUAACUACAGCUCCUGCUACAACAACUGUAGCUUCUACGUCAACCACAGCAGCUGUCUCUACGACAACCACCUCAGCUCUAACUAAAACAACUGCUGCUCCAACGACCGCUACAACUCCAGAACCUAUUACGACAGAACCUACUCCUACGACUGCUACGACUGCAGAACCUACCACGACAGCAACGGCAGCUCCUACUACAACAUCUGCUGUUCUUACGACAGCAACUACUGCAGCACCUUCUACAACAACUACAACUUCAGCUCCUACGACAACCACAAUAACAGCACCCACUACAACACCUUCAGUUCCUACAAGUGUAGCUCCAGCUAAUUCUUCACCCGAUUUACUUACUACAACAAUCACAACUACAGCUCCUGCUACAACACCUGUAGCUUCUACGUCAAGCACAGCAGCUGUCUCUACGACAACCACUGCUGCUCUUACUACAACAACUGCUGCUCCAACAACUACUACAACUUCAGAACCUACUACGACAGAACCUACUCGUACGACUGCAACGACUGCAGAACCUACCACAACAUUGAAUGCAGCACCUUCUAAAAUAACUACAACUUUAGCUCCUACGACAACCACAACAACUGCACCUACUACAACACCUGCAGUUCCUACAACUGUAGCUCCCACGACCACUACACCUGCUUUACUUACUACUCCGAUCUCAACUUCAGCUCCUGCUAUAACAACUGUAGCUUCUACGGCAACCACAGCAGCUGCCUCUACGACAACCACUGCAGAUCUAACUACAACAAGUGCUGCUGCUACGACGACUACAACUACAGAAUCUACUGCCACAGUACCCACUCAUAUGACUGCUAUAACUGCAGAUAUUACCAGAUCAACAACUGCAGUAGCUGCUACAACAACUGCAACUUCAGCUCCAACGACAGCCACAACAACAGCACCUACUACAGCACCUGCAGUUCCUACAACUGUAGCUCCUAUGACCACUACACCUGCAGUACCUACUGCAAUAAUUAUAACUACAGCUCCUGCUACAACAUCUGUAGCUUCUAUGUCAACCACAGCAGCUGCCCUUAUCACAACCACUGCAGCUCCUUUGACAACUACAGCUCUUACGAAAACAACUGUAACUCAUAUGACAACUGUAGCACCUAUUUUGACAACUACAACUGAAGCUACAACAACAACCACAAUUACAGCAGCUAGUACAACACCUGCAGUUCCUAUAACAAGUGCCGCUUCUACAACAACUGCAGCUUCUACAACUUCUGCAGGUCCAACGUCAACUGCAGCUCUUACGACAACUACUGUAGGUCCUGCAACCAAUACAACUGGAGCUCCUGCAACAACUGCAACCACAGCUCCUACUACAAUAAAUGUAGCUCGUACAACAUCAACUGUAGCUCCUACGGUUUCUGCGAUUGCUGAACAUACGACGACAACUCUACCUCCUACGACAACACCUGUAGCUGCUACCACAAUAACUGUAGAUCUUUCAAAUACUACAACAGCAGUAACUACAACAAAACCCACAACUACAGCUCUUACUACAAUAAAUGUUGCUCCUACGACAACCACAACAACAGCCCCUACAACAACCAGUUCUGCUCUUACUACAACAACUGUGGGUUCAACAAUCACUACAACUGCAGCAUCUCCUACAACAACCACAACAGCAGCACCUACAACAACAACAGGAGCUUUUACAACAACUGAACAUCCUACGUCAAUAAAUGUAGCUCCUAUAACCACUACACCUGCAGUACCUACCACAACAUCGGUAGCUUCUAUGCCCACUACAACAGCAGCACCUACAAUGACAACUGUAUCUCCUACAACAACAACUGUAGCUCUUAUGACCAAUACAAAUGCUGCACCAACUACGACAACUGCCGCUCUUACUACAACCACAACUACAGCUUUUACAGGAACUACCACUGUCCCUACUACCACCAGCACCAUAGAAGCUCCUACUACCACAACUAUACUGGCAGCUCCUAUAUCCACCACAACUGAAGCUUCUACGACGACAACCAAAACUUCACCUGCAAUAAUGACAACUACAAAUACAUCUCCAACAAUCGCAACUCCAGCUCUUAAAACCACCACCAUAAAUGUUGCUUCUAUUACAACAAUUAAUACUGCAGGUCCUACAACCACCACCACAACUGGUAGUUCUCAUCCUACAACAACGACUACAACUGCAGCACCUACAAGUACAACCACAAUUGUACUUCCUAACUCGGCAUCCAGAACUGCAACUUAUAACUCAACUUCUAUGGCUUCAGUGACAUCAACAACUAGAUUCGGCACAGUGGGGGUUUUUGUUAAACUGAUAUUCAAGGUCAAAAUGCCAGUCCCCACUGAGGAUGAUGUCCUUGGUGCCGUCAAGAAUCAACUGUCUCCUCAAUUCACGACCACUCAAACCACCUUCCAGAAUGCAACUUAUAUCAGUGAGUCCAACAAAUUAGGCUUCAUGAAGACAUUUAUUUCCACUCUAUAAAAAAAUGUCUUACUAAGUAAACAUGCAACUGCUCCUGCAAUCUAAAUACUUCUUGAAUGUUUUUUAAUGUUGUUGAAACUCCUAAAUUGUAGCAGUUCAUUUUAUAAUUUUUUUUGUGUGCUCACAGAACUUACAGAUACUUCAUUUGCCAUCGUCCUUGGUUUCAAAAUAACCAAUGUAACCCAGGAGUCUCUAAGUAAUAGACUCACACUCACCAAUGAGACCGAAACCCAGAUACAGGAUUCAAUUAACAUACUAGUAAGAUACUGUACUUCUAUACAUAAGAUACAUCCAUGGUCAUGUUCAGGUCAUGAUAGUAAUUGACAACUUGAUGUUUUGUCCCCUUUUAGCUCCAUAAGGUUCUCAGUGAACCAGAUGGCAAACAGUUUAAAUUUCCCAACGCCAACUUCAUGUAAGUACAAUGUCAUAACCUUGAACCAACCCAUCUUUCUCAACUGCACUCUUUAGAAUUUCUGCAGAUUUCAUUUAGCUUGGUACAGCUAAACAGGAUGAAGGGAACAUGUUUAACUCUCACACAAAACCCAUUUUUACAUCCACAGUGACGAUGGCACUGAAAUCACGGCAAACGUGACGUAUGUAUACAAAGAGGAAGAUGUCAACCAGCCUAGUAGUUUUCUACAGGAAGUCUUAAAAGUCUCAGGUAUGCUGCUUUUGUUACCAUACGGUUGUCAUUUCUAUGUUUUUUUAUGACAGUGAGUUAUCAAACACCAUGUAAUGUGUAUAAUACUCAAUCUCGAAAACACUUAUAUAUCUAUGUUAUGUGACAUAUUACAAGUUUAUAAUCCCUCUAAAAUGUAUUUUCAUUUCUAUUCUAGGUCNNNNNNNNNNNNNNNNNNNNNNNNNNNNNNNNNNNNNNNNNNNNNNNNNNNNNNNNNNNNNNNNNNNNNNNNNNCCAGCGACCACUACACCUGAUGUACUUACUACAACAAUCACAACUACAGCUCCUGCUACAACAACUGUAGCUUCUACGUCAACCACAGCAGCUGUCUCUACGCCAACCACUGCAGCUCUUACUACAACAACUGGUGCACCAACAACCACUUCAACUCCAGAACCUACUACGACAGAACCUACUCGUACGACUGCAACGACUGCAGAACCUACCACAACAACCACUUUAGCUCCUACAACAAACAUUGCUGUUCUUACAACCGCAACAACUGCAGCACCUUCUACAACUACUACAACGUCAGCUCCUACAAUAACCAUAACAACAGCACCCACUACAACACCUGCAGUUCCUACAACUGUAGCUCCAGCGACCACUACACCUGAUGUACUUUCUACAACAAUCAUAACUACAACUCCUGCUACAACAACUGUAGCUUCUACGUCAACCACAGCAGCUGUCUCUACG